GACGAACGCUGGCGGCGUGCUUAACACAUGCAAGUCGAACGGUGAACGAGGGAGCUUGCUCCCUCCGGAUCAGUGGCGAACGGGUGAGUAACACGUGAGCAAUCUGCCCCGUACUCUGGGAUAAGCGUUGGGAACGACGUCUACUACCGGCUCAGACGCGGGAGGGCAUCAUCCCCGCGAGGAUCGAACUUCGGUCCGGGGUGGGCUCGCGGCCUAUAAGCUCGAUGGUGAGGUAACGGCGCACCAAGGCGACGACGGGUAGCCGGCCUGGGAGGGUGACCGGCCACACGGGGACUGAGACACGGCCCAGACUCCUACGGGAGGCAGCAGUGGGGAGUAUUGCACAGUGGGCGCAAGCCUGAGGCAGCAACGCCGCGUGAGGGACGACGGCCUGCGGGGUGUAAACCUCUUUUAGCAGGGAAGAAGCGAAAGUGACGGUACCUGCAGAAAAAGCACCGGCUAACUACGUG
rnacentral:rRNA from 1 species